CCUACGGGGGGCUGCAGUGGGGAAUAUUGCACAAUGGGGGAAACCCUGAUGCAGCGACGCCGCGUGAGUGAAGAAGUAUUUCGGUAUGUAAAGCUCUAUCAGCAGGGAAGAAAAUGACGGUACCUGACUAAGAAGCCCCGGCUAACUACGGGCCAGCAGCCGGGGUAAUACGUAGGGGGCAAGCGUUAUCCGGAUUUACUGGGUGUAAAGGGAGCGUAGACGGCUAAUCAAGUCAGAAGUGAAAACGCAGGGCUCAAACUUGGGACUGCUUUUGAAACUGAGUAGCUAGAGUGCAGGAGAGGUAAGCGGAAUUAGUAAUGUAGCGGUGAAAUGCGUAGAUAUUAGGAAGAACACCAGUAGCGAAGGCAGCUUACUGGACUGUGACUGACGUUGAGGCUCGAGAGCGUGGGGAGCAAACAGGAUUAGAUACCCUAGUAGUC
rnacentral:rRNA from 1 species